GCAAAAUGUCUCAGUCCAGUUUGGCCUAUUUUUAAAUUUAUUUAUGCAUUAUUUAUUUAUUUAAACUUUUAUAUGAGAAAUAAACUAUUUAUGAAACAAAAGUCAAUGUGGCAGUUUCAAUGUCAACUUGAUUUUCGUGACAACACAGAUUAAAAAUUGCAGAGCACCUUGCAGACAUUCAUUGCAAAACAAGCCUGUAGAGUAGUAGCGUUUCUGGCCCCUGCCUUUGAAGAAUUUAAAAUACAAGGAAGCCCUGUGGAAUGUCCGAGUUAUAUGCAUGCUCUCCCUGUAUCCACACAGUCUACCCGCGCUUGUCUUGUUCACGUCUUUAAAUGUACCAGACGGCUCAUGCCAGAGGGCCCCUCUAUAUGAUGUGGGGCUUUUGUCCUCUCUUUUCUUUUUCAGUUGGGGGAAAAUGUACACCACUUUACAUUUGAGAGUCUUACAAAGUAAGCCUUCUUAAGCCAAUAAAAUUUGGCAAAUUCCACCUAAUUUAUAAAAUCCUUACUAAAGUAAAUGAAAAAUUCUGACCUUCUAACUGUCCUCAGUUGCUUGUACACUCCAACCAUUAUUUCCAACAAGGUAGUCCUCAGAGGUUUCAGGAACAUGAGUCAAAAAUUACUUAAGACUGUCUUGGGGGUCAUUAGAAAUUGUCAAACAUGCUAAUUCACUCAAUUAAAAAUAAGUGA
rnacentral:lncRNA from 1 species